UAAUGAAGGUGGGUAUGGAGGCUGAAAAACUCGUAGAAAUAUGAUGCUGUCAUCAGCUUCUUCUCUAUUACUUAUCUAAGAGACUGGAGUUAAAUAACAGCAGUAAAUAU